UACCCAUGGUGACAGCCGCUUUGACAACGCAUCCAGUAGAGGGCGCUUUCUGUGUCUCAACUCAUUUUCUGACCCCACACCUAGAAUUUCCUGUGCCUCUCAAACUAACCGCUUGUUCUCAAGCGGUUUCAGGGUCUGCUUCUAGGAGGACCCGAAGUACAUCAGAACCCUUAGGGGUUCUUCUGUAUUUUACGUCAUCAUAAGCCAUUCUGAACCCUAAGAAAAUGGGUCGCUAUACUUAAUGUCUUAGGAGUGAAAGCGUGGUUCAGUGAUGCUUUAACUUCUGCGUCAUCAGGAGUUCUCUGAGGUUGUUGAAAGUUAAUCUCCUACUGUGUCCCAGGACCUUAGCAAGAUGUGGAAGAGAAUACAUACCAAAGAUUCUCCUGAGGAAAAGCUGUACUCUGCAGGGAUUUACAUAGUGAGGCUCACCGGGCUGUGAACAUUUGGGACAUGAUGACGUGAACAUUAUAUUAUAUUCUUUUCUCUUUCAGGCUUAGGCAUUUAUUGCUCUCCCUGAGAAGACUGGCUUUCCUCAGGUGAAGAACACGUGUGGAUGGGCGAGUCUGAAAGCCAUUUUUAUCUCCUUGGAAGGCAUUUUCAUUCCGUCGUUCAACAAAGAGAGCACGUCACAGCAGAAAAUACCACAUCUGGGUGAAAUGGAGUGCCAGCAACAGGCCUUAUGGGCUUGCCGGCAGCCUGAUCUUCCAAAGACAUUUUCUCAAUUGAGGUUCCUUCUUUCUCUUCCGACUUUAGUUUGUGCCAAGCUGACAUAAAGCUAGCCAGCGUGUGUUGGUUUGCAAGCCCUUCCUUGUUUACAUAAUUAAUCUAGAAAUUAUUCUGGAUGUGACUGAGUAUUUUGAUGAACAUAAGAGAAAAACUCUGUGAGUCAUGGGCACCUAGAAUUGUCCUUUUUUCCUGGGGGUUGGGCUUAGGGGAAGACUUGGAAGGUGAAAGGGACCAAACAAGCCAGAGCUCAGAGGCCACUGCUAGAGAAAGGACACAACUUCAGGACCAUCCUGGUCUCAUUAUGGAGCACAGCUCUGUUUCCAUCAGGUUCCCAGAGGCUAUCACAUCUCCAAGAGAUAAGGGCUUUAGCCCCACCUCUAAGGACCGGGGAGAAAGGUUCAUACUGGUUUACUGUUAGUUCCUUAUUCUUAGUAAUAAAUGUUGAAUGUAUAUUCAUCUUGUUGAGUCACAAAAGCAACUUUCCCCGUUAGGUCACGUCAUUCUGCAGGUUUUGUGGAUAAGGAGAUGGACCUGCACAGAUAAAGAAAUUUUGGAGGUCAUCAUGCUUAAAGUGACAUUCUUGAGAUCUCUCAGUGGGUAAGAACAUUUGCUACUCUGGCAAAAGACCCAGGUUCAAAUCCCAAUGCUCACCUGGGGAUUCAUAACCACCUCUAACUCCAGUUUCAGGGAGAUCAAUGUCCCUUCUGGUUUCUGUGGGUACUGCAUGGACAUGGUAUGGUUACAUACAGGCAGAUAAAACAUUCAUAUGCAUAAACACACAAACACAA
rnacentral:sRNA from 1 species